rnacentral:lncRNA from 1 species
CCUCCCCGGUUGGCUCGGGGAGGAGUAACCCCGAGCUCCCGCCGUGACUUUCCCCCCCCCGGAGGAGCAGCUGCCCGCGGUGCCGUCUCCCACCGAGCUGACACCAUUUCGCGCUCCGAGCCGCGUACCGCUGCGCGGCCAACUCGCUUCCCACUUUCCCAGCCGUACGGGGAACGACCAGCGCUUCUCCAACGCCUCGCACCCUCCUCCCGCACAGCCGCUGACCCGGUGGCAGAGCAGGCCCGGCGGGAGGCGGGGAGGGCCGAGGGGGCGGAGAAGCGCCGCGGGCACAAUGCGGGGCCCCGCCGCGGGAGAGGGGCCAAGCUGGAACCCGAGCGCCGCGGAGCAGCCGAAGGAAGCGCCCCGCCAGCCCCGUUACCUGCGCGCUCCUCCCCCGCGGGCAAGCUGCCGGCGUGCAGCCUUCACAACAAAGCCCGAGAGCCGCGGCCGCGGCAGGAGGAGGGCCGAACGCACCACCCCCACGAGCGCGCAGCGUGCAAGGGCCGGCGGUGGGGCCGCGGUCUGAGGGCGGGGCGCGGCGGCGCGGCGCGGCUGCGGGGGUGGCUGCGGACUCGGGCCGGGCGAUGCAGGGCAGCCGGCGCCGCCGUGCGGGCGGGAGAGUGACACCUCGUGCAGACAACAAACCAAACAGCUUCUUCAUCUGGUCAACUCCAAAUCUUCUUGACUGUCAAACAACUCCAACAAGUCUAGCUUAAUACCAGAUUUGCUAUUUCUAUUAAAGAAGCAUUGCAUAGUGAGACCUACAUCCCUGCAAUAAGUGAAGUUGUGAUGUUUCAGCAUCUGCUUUUUGUUGAUACCAGACACUGGAGAUCCUGCUGUAUUUAAUUGAGCAUCAGUCUCAAAGAGCAAAACCACGGGAACUGAUGCUAAUGUUAAUGAAACAUUGAAGUUGAGAUUUCAAUUACUUAAAUGUCAACACAUUAGAAGUUCUUUAAUUUUAGGAAGUUAUUCUGCAUUCCCACAGCAAUUCCCACUCUGCUCUUACGUAUAUCAAAGAAUUCAAGUUACUGUUUGUUUGCUGAUGCAUGCAAAUUAUCUAACUGAAUAUUAUAGCUCAGUUUUAUUGUUUUAUUAACUCUUUUGUGUAUAUUUUGUGUGUUCUUGUGUUUUACAGUAACAAUAAAAACUUCCCUCUUCUCUUUGUUCUGAAUUGU